GACGAACGCUGGCGGCGUGCUUAACACAUGCAAGUCGAACGGAAAGGCCCUGCUUUUGUGGGGUGCUCGAGUGGCGAACGGGUGAGUAACACGUGAGUAACCUGCCCUUGACUUUGGGAUAACUUCAGGAAACUGGGGCUAAUAUCGGAUAGGAGCUCCUGCUGCAUGGUGGGGGUUGGAAAGUUUCGGCGGUGGGGGAUGGACUCGCGGCUUAUCAGCUUGUUGGUGGGGUAGUGUCUUACCAAGGCUUUGACGGGUAGCCGGCCUGAGAGGGUGACCGGCCACAUUGGGACUGAGAUACGGCCCAGACUCCUACGGGAGGCAGCAGUGGGGAAUAUUGCACACUGGGCGGCAGCCUGCUGCAGCAACGCCGCGUGCGGGAUGACGGCCUUCGGGUUGUAAACCGCUUUCGCCUGUGACGAAGCGUGAGUGACGGUAAUGGGUAAAGAAGCACCGGCUAACUACGUG
rnacentral:rRNA from 1 species